UACGAAGGGUCCAAGCGUUAUCCGGAUUUAUUGGGUUUAAAGGGUGCGUAGGCGGCUUAUUAAGUCAGUUGUGAAAGCCUGCAGCUUAACUGCAGAACUGCCAUUGAUACUGAUGAGCUUGAGUAUAGUUGAGGUGGGCGGAAUGUGUCAUGUAGCGGUGAAAUGCUUAGAUAUGACACAGAACACCGAUUGCGAAGGCAGCUCGCUAAACUAUAACUGACGCUGAGGCACGAAAGCGUGGGGAGCGAACAGG
rnacentral:rRNA from 1 species